CACAGAAAAGAGAAAGACGUGUGUUCAUGUUCGUGUGCGGGUCCACUGUAUUUGGUCCCUCCUCAUUUGCUACGUAGCCUCGAUGGCGAUGGUUGAGGUGUGUCUUAAGUUUUUUGAGGUUCCUGCCUGAUGUUCCUGCCACUCCUUGGGUCCACUGCCUUUACAAUUGUAUGGCAGCUAAGUAUAGACUGUACACUUCAUAAAGGUUUCAAGAUGAUGUUUGCAUGCGUCAUCGAGAACAAACUCACGGUAAAACUCCAAACUUGCUCAUGCUGCGUUUGAAAUCGUCCUUGAACUUGACAAACUUCCCCAUAUAUUCCUCUUGUUCUACUGAGUGCAGCAGAGGGGUGUCGACGAAAGCUGGACACAGCACAUUGAUUCGCACGCCGUAGUCGCUCUGAGAGGACGCGUCCUGCAAAACAUGACAGUGACCUCCCACCCCACAAAACACUCAAGUAUACAUUUUGGUUUGACACCGCUUGUUAUGUUGUGUGUUGUGUUGUGUCUUACAGCCAUAACCCUUGUGAAGCCAAUUACGCCAUGUUUUGUAGCUGUGUAGACCGGCUGGUGAGGAGAGUGCAGGAAGGCUGGAUUGGAAAGAAUCAGAGAAGGCAACAUCAUGUGAAUCCCAGCUUCAUUAUAAUGAGGUAAAGGUGAUCAUAAAAACCAACACACCUGGAGGUGUAUAUGAAGUAUAUGAGGAAGUAUAUGAGGCAGCCUACCCUGACGCACAGUAGUUUAAGCAUAAAGAAACACUGGAACAAGGUGCUGUGCUGGUUGGCGGAGCCUGCCGUGAUCACGUCCACGUGGAAUGCUGCCCUCGCAGCUCCAGAAGCUUCGGGGCAGGGAGGCUCAACUA